rnacentral:rRNA from 1 species
AUUGAACGCUGGCGGCAGGCCUAACACAUGCAAGUCGAACGAGUGGCGGACGGGUGAGUAAUGUCUGGGAAACUGCCUGAUGGAGGGGGAUAACUACUGGAAACGGUAGCUAAUACCGCCUACCAUAGGAAGUGCCCAGAUCGGAUUAGCUAGUAGGGGGGGUAACGGCUCACCUAGGCGACGAUCCCUAGCUGUUCGGAGAGGAUGACCGGCCAAAUGGGACCUGAGACAGGGUCAAGAUUCCACCGGGGGGAAGCGUGGGGAAAUAUUGGACAUGGGGCGAAAGCCGGAGGAAGACAGGCCGCGUGGAGGAAGAGGGCCUUCGGGUUGUAAGGUACUUUCAGCGGGGAGGCGGUACCGGAAGAAGAAGCAACGGCUAACUCCGUGCCAGCAGCCGCGGUAAUUC